AAGGGAAUAGCUAAUUUGGGGAAUUGGUAGAUCAACAUCCAAGCCCAGGUUCUUUUUCAGUUCAGUUUAGAGUUAUGAUUGACAACACGCUACUACGUUGAGGGCUAAGAAUAUGGCGUCCUCCACCUCUCUCCCACUUCACCCAUACCCUGUUCGGUCUUAGUAGCUUUCUUUGUGUUUUUGUUUUGUUUCUUUGUUUCCAAAAAUCCAAAAUUAUGUCAUGUUUCUUUUGGCUUUAUUUUCUUUCUUUCUGCUUCUUUGAAAAGUUAAAUUUUAAGUUUUUCUUUGGUACUUAUUGUAUCUUCUUCUUUUUUGUUACUUGUUCUUAUGUUUGGUCACUACGUUCAUAUUUGUUAAACUUGGAACAUUUGUAUGUUAGUUUGAGUCUCAUGAUUCGGACACGAGGAAACUCUUCAGAAAAACAUCGACGUGUCAACUUUUGUCCAGGUAUACGACGACUUUCGCUAUAAGACCGUCGUAUAUACGUCCUACCUUACGCAUUGUACACUCGAGCACUGAUACCCCAUAUACCCAUGUACCAAGUGUUGUUCGACAAUAACAACAAGUUGAUGAUUGGAGUUUAUUUUUUGUCUAUCAGGCAUGACUUGUGAUUGCUUUGAACUCACGGUGGAGAGGAGAGAGGGUCGCUUCUCUCUUUGAUUGAUUUAUUAGUUUGCACAUGUUGCCUUCCAUUGUGUUAUAGCUGCAUGUUUUUUCAAAGUUAUAGUUUCCCGUCUUGCUGGCUUUUUUUUAGUAUUAGGCAUGGUAUGUUUGCUCGUGCUUCUAAUUCCCUUUGAGCCAUUUUUCCAACAGUGUCAAGAUACCUGCCUAUUAACAGCUACGACUAUUUCCUGAGUUGACUAAGGUUUCAACUACAAAAAUUGGGGAAAGAAAAAACAAAACAAGAAAAAGUGGAGCCGAUGUAAAAAGUUGUAUAGAAAUACAAAAAGAUUUGAGAAGAGAAAAGAAAAGGAGGUAUUGUCCAAUAAAACCCACUCCUCCCACGUGAGAAAGAGACUAGUAUGGUUAUUUGAUACUUCCUCCGAUCGUAAAUUGUUGUCGAAAUAUAACAUGUAUCUAAACGCCUUUUUAAGAAUGGGAGACCC
rnacentral:lncRNA from 1 species